rnacentral:rRNA from 1 species
ACCCUAUGCAGCUUCUACUGUAGUUAGUCAUUGUGUGCUUAUAAUUAAGGUGUAGAAUACAAGGGAGUCGAUUAGACAUCAGUGAAAUACCUUGACUUAAUUAGGAGCAUGCUAAACCAAAUUUUGGGACAGUGAUUAAUGGGCAGUUUAUCUGGGGCGGAUUUCUCCCAUAUAGUACCGGAGAAGUACAAAGGUCGGCUUAAAUUGGAUGGAAACCAAUGGGCUAAAGAGAGCCUAAUUAAGUGUAAUGGCAUAAGCCGGCUUAACUGUAAGACUGACAAGUCAUACAGAUACGUAAGUAGGUCAUAGUGAUCCGGUGGUCCAUCAUGGAAUGGCCAUCGCUCAACGGAUAAAAGUUACGCUAGGGAUA